rnacentral:rRNA from 1 species
AGAUAAACUCCGAAUGCCAUGUACUUAUACUCGGGAGUCAGACUGCGAGUGAUAAGAUCCGUAGUCGAAAGGGAAACAGCCCAGACCACCAGUUAAGGUCCCCAAAUAUAUGUUAAGUGGAAAAGGAUGUGGGGUUGCUUAGACAACCAGGAUGUUGGCUUAGAAGCAGCCACCAUUGAAAGAGUGCGUAAUAGCUCACUGGUCGAGUGACCCCGCGCCGAAAAUGUACCGGGGCUAAACAUAUUACCGAAACUGUGGAUGAACCUCUUUAGAGGUUCGUGGUAGGAGAGCGUUCUAAGGGCGGUGAAGUCAGACCGGAAGGACUGGUGGAGCGCUUAGAAGUGAGAAUGCCGGUAUGAGUAGCGAAAGAAGGGUGAGAAUCCCUUCCACCGAAUAUCUAAGGUUUCCUGAGGAAGGCUCGUCCGCUCAGGGUUAGUCGGGACCUAAGCCGAGGCCGAUAGGCGUAGGCGAUGGACAACAGGUAGAGAUUCCUGUACCAGUGCUAAUUGUUUAACCGAUGGGGUGACACAGAAGGAUAGGGAAUCGCACGAAUGGAAAUGUGCGUCCAAGCAGUGAGUGUGAGAAGUAGGCAAAUCCGCUUCUCGCGAAGCAUGAGCUGUGAUGGGGAAGGAAAUUAAGUACGGAAGUUCCUGAUUUCACGCUGUCAAGAAAAGCCUCUAGGAAGAGUAGUACUGCCCGUACCGCAAACCGACACAGGUAGAUGAGGAGAGAAUCCUAAGGUGAGCGAGAGAACUCUCGUUAAGGAACUCGGCAAAAUGACCCCGUAACUUCGGGAGAAGGGGUGCUCUAUUAGGGUGCAAGCCCGAGAGAGCCGCAGUGAAUAGGCCCAGGCGACUGUUUAGCAAAAACACAGGUCUCUGCAAAACCGUAAGGUGACGUAUAGGGGCUGACGCCUGCCCGGUGCUGGAAGGUUAAGAGGAGUGCUUAGCUUCGGCGAAGGUACGAAUUGAAGCCCCAGUAAACGGCGGCCGUAACUAUAACGGUCCUAAGGUAGCGAAAUUCCUUGUCGGGUAAGUUCCGACCCGCACGAAAGGCGCAACGAUCUGGGCACUGUCUCAACGAGAGACUCGGUGAAAUUAUAGUACCUGUGAAGAUGCAGGUUACCCGCGACAGGACGGAAAGACCCCGUGGAGCUUUACUGCAACCUGAUAUGGAAUGUUUGUACCGCUUGUACAGGAUAGGUAGGAGCCGAAGAGACGUGUGCGCUAGCAUACGAGGAGGCAAUGGUGGGAUACUACCCUGGCUGUAUGACCAUUCUAACCCGCCACGCUUAGCGCGUGGGGAGACAGUGUCAGGUGGGCAGUUUGACUGGGGCGGUCGCCUCCUAAAGAGUAACGGAGGCGCCCAAAGGUUCCCUCAGAAUGGAUGGAAAUCAUUCGCAGAGUGUAAAGGCACAAGGGAGCUUGACUGCGAGACUGACAAGUCGAGCAGGGACGAAAGUCGGGCUUAGUGAUCCGGUGGUUCCGCAUGGAAGGGCCAUCGCUCAACGGAUAAAAGCUACCCCGGGGAUAACAGGCUUAUCUCCCCCAAGAGUCCACAUCGACGGGGAGGUUUGGCACCUCGAUGUCGGCUCGUCGCAUCCUGGGGCUGUAGUCGGUCCCAAGGGUUGGGCUGUUCGCCCAUUAAAGCGGCACGCGAGCUGGGUUCAGAACGUCGUGAGACAGUUCGGUCCCUAUCCGUCGCGGGCGCAGGAAAUUUGAGAGGAGCUGUCCUUAGUACGAGAGGACCGGGAUGGACACACCGCUGGUGUACCAGUUGUUCCGCCAGGAGCAUCGCUGGGUAGCUAUGUGUGGCAGGGAUAAACGCUGAAAGCAUCUAAGCGUGAAGCCCCCCUCAAGAUGAGAUUUCCCAUUUCUUCGGAAAGUAAGAUCCCUGAAAGAUGAUCAGGUAGAUAGGUUUGGAGUGGAAGUGUAGCGAUACAUGGAGCGGACAAAUACUAAUCGAUCGAGGACUUAACCAAAA